rnacentral:rRNA from 1 species
UACGUAGGGCGCAAGCGUUGUCCGGAAUUAUUGGGCGUAAAGAGCUCGUAGGCGGUCUGUUACGUCUGCUGUGAAAACCCAGGGCUUAACCCUGGGCUUGCAGUGGAUACGGGCAGACUAGAGGCAGGUAGGGGGAGAAUGGAAUUCCCGGUGUAGCGGUGAAAUGCGCAGAUAUCGGGAGGAACACCGGUGGCGAAGGCGGUUCUCUGGGCCUGGCCUGACGCUGAGGAGCGAAAGCGUGGGGGGAGCGAACAGG